GAUGAAGAACGCAGCAAAAUGCGAUAAGUAAUGUGAAUUGCAGAAUUCAGUGAAUCAUCGAAUCUUUGAACGCACAUUGCGCCCGCCAGUAUUCUGGCGGGCAUGCCUGUUCGAGCGUCAUUUCAACCCUCAAGCUCAGCUUGGUGUUGGGACUCGCGGUAACCCGCGUUCCCCAAAUCGAUUGGCGGUCACGUCGAGCUUCCAUAGCGUAGUAAUCAUACACCUCGUUACUGGUAAUCGUCGCGGCCACGCCGUAAAACCCCAACUUCUGAAUGUUGACCUCGGAUCAGGUAGGAAUACCCGCUGAACUUAAGCAUAUCAAGCGGAGGA
rnacentral:misc_RNA from 1 species